UAAUCCUAAAAUCGAUAAAUAAAUAUCGAAGGAAUUCUCGCGCUUAUCAGUGGUAAAACAGGAGCCAGUCUUGAUUGGAAAUAUAUUAAGGACGCUCUCAUUGUGCGCAUUGCGCGGACAAGAGAAAUGAGCCCACUCCAUGUUCGAGUUCCACAAUUCGCGGAGACCUAAGAAUCGGAGCCUACUUUGGAUAAGACAAAUAAAUUGUUAACAGAUAUAUGUUUACCCCACUUUUAACAGAAAUCAGGCUACAGUGAGAUCAAUAAAACCGACCAACCUUGGAGAAGAUUUUAAACGGGCUAUAAAAGAAAGAGAAAUGUAAUUCGCUCAAAAGAAUAUAAAACGGCAGAAUCAAAAAGGCAGGUCAGAAAACAGAAAUGCACAAUUACAAUGAGGCGGCAAAUUUUCAACAAAGAGCUUUUGACAAGAGACAUGUUAUUUAAUAAAUGAAAACAAUAAGUCACCGCUACCAUAUAUGUAUUUCGGCAUGUGCUGGAAAUCGUGCGAUUUCAUUUUAAUAUCGAAAUUUCAAAUUAAUUAGAGGUAUGAUAAAAUUCACUCGAUUCGAACUUUAAUUCCAAACAGCUGGUAAUCAAACAACUGACAUUUAAUAAUAAUUUUGUGUAAAAUAUUUUUGUAAAUAUGAGCAGAAACUGUUAAAUGGAAUUGUUUCUGCUUACUUGCUCUUUUGAAAUAAUUGGAAAAAUCAUGAGAUAGAUUCAGGAUGCAUUAUUUAUAUAUUCAAUGUAAGUACAUAAACGUAUAAAGCUGUAUGCCCAGCGUUGACGUACUGAAUCUGAUUAUUUAUAGAAUCCUUUCGUUC